GAAUUUACGGAUGAACUGGAUGGAGAUGUCAUCAAAACCUUCGUCUCUGGAGGUCCCAAGAACUAUGCUUAUCAGACGGCAACUGGGAAAACCUGCUGCAAAGUAUGAAACACUUGGUCUGUAGUCUGGACGAAAAAGAAAACAUCUUUAUCCAUAACCCCUCCAAAAUCACUCGAGAAGCGAAAAGAAGAAAGGUGAUGAAUAAACCCGAGACAAAAAUGUACAGAAUUGUAUUAGAUAAACGGGUGAUUCAAAAAGACUUGAGCACAUUGCCGUAUGGUUAUUAGCAUAUUGAAGAACUUUUUAUGUUAGAACCUUAUCUGAAAAUGAAAUUUUGUAUGUGAAAAAAAUAUGUAUAUAUAUGUGUGCAGAAUCAUACAUUUGUGUCUGUAUAAAAAACUUAUUUAGAAAAAAAAUAAAUAGAAGUUUGAAUGAUAAAA